CAACCUAAAAAACAAACAAAAAAAAAACUUAAAGGAAAAUGAGCAUCCUUUUCCACUGACCCAAGCAGCAAGUUUUUGCUAAAAGGAGGUCUCUCAUUUCAAACAGUAAUGGAAAGCUGCUGGUAGCUAUUCUUGGCCACUGGCCUCUUUGGGAGUGGGAGUGGAUUUCACAUUGGAAGGGAAACUUGACAUCAAUGUAAAACAAAUUCAGUUCCCUUUAGUUUGGCCCUAGGAAGAAUGAUUUUCUGAAACAUGUGCUCCCUGCGGGUGCUUCAGACAUCUUUGCUCCGGCUUCUAGUGCUAUGUCACAAUGCUGAGCUGUGUGCUCACACUAGGCUCUCCCUCUCAACCACUGAGAUCACUGACACAUGAGCCCCGAUUGCAAGUCAGACCCAAGAGGUUAUGAAGCCACAAACGUGGUGAGAGCAGUAGUUAUAUGGGAGGGCAGUGGCCGACUCAACUGGAAUCUGGACAGUGGUUCCCUUUCCCCCCAAAAGCACGUGCUUAACAAAGGAACAGUAGAAGCAGCCAGAAGCUUGGGACUGGACAGUUCACAGAGUUUGUGCUUCAACAGUAUGUUACAAAUGACUUGGUCAGUUUAAACUUCCAUCAAGUAUCGACACUGUAAGACACAGGAGAGAAGAUGUGAGAGAAAACGUGGACCACUUCCCCCCCCAGUAAGGGGGUGGGGGGAGCAGCAGAGCAGGGUGGCGGUUUAACAAGAGCAGAUCACAUUGUUCUCUGUCCUAUAGACAUAGGCAUGACUGGCACUGAUACAGUAUCCACUUUCUUCAUAAAAGGAUGAAGGCUGGAGAUCAAGCAAUGGAUCUGAGGGGUAAAGAGGUCAGAUCCCGACCACAUGUAGAUUUCGCUAAUUGAGAAUGAUACAGUAGACUUUUUUAAAAAAAAGAAAACUGUGCACUUUCAGGGAUAACUUAAAAAUGAUUAACUUGCAAGGAUGUGCAACUCUCAAAGAGCCAACAAGAGCAGAGCGCCUGGUUUCAACAAACUAACUCUUUUAAAAGCAUCUCUCUGGUCCUGGGCUAAGGAAGGAAGCAAAGAGAGAACUAAUUUAAUUACUGAAUAAAAGAGACUACUUACCAUCCCAACCCCUUGCAUGCCAUACACUUCUGACAUAAGAGAACUCCUGAGAGGCCUGCUAAUGAGUGUAAGCAGCUUGUGGUAAAGCACCUAUCCCCAGGAGGGGAGGGGGGCAGCCCGAAGAGAAACCUGGGCUGGCAAGCACUCCUCUGCUAAUCUGUUUAUUUUCUCCUUCUGUAGGCUGGCUGCAGUCAGGAAGUAGGGGUUUAAAAAAAAAAAAAAUGCUCACCCAACAGUU